CUUUGAAGGCACAGUUUAGCAACUUACAGUAUGAUCGGUGAACAGCACUAUUUGGGAAAGGAGUCAUGCAUUGAACAAUCCGAUUUUUGUAUCUAACAAGAGAUUUUCAGGCUGAGUUCCUCUCCUAUAGAGUGUAUAACCUAGCACAGUUACACUGAUAGUUCCCUUCAAGGGAAACUGAUACAAUAUUAUACUAAACUAUAGUUAGUGGUUAUAUUUUACUCCAUUGAUACUUUGUGUCUCUUAGAAUUUCCAGCUUCAUUUUCACAGGCAUUUCUAAAUUUACACUACUAAUUACUUACACUUAGACUCAUGCUGGAAUCUCAGAAAUAAUUAGGAUUAUUCUAC